rnacentral:sRNA from 1 species
UUUUUAAAAGCAUUUUU